AACGAACGCUGGCGGCAUGCCUAACACAUGCAAGUCGAACGAGACCUUCGGGUCUAGUGGCGCACGGGUGCGUAACGCGUGGGAACCUGCCCUUAGGUUCGGAAUAACUCCCCGAAAGGGGUGCUAAUACCGGAUAAUGUCUUCGGACCAAAGAUUUAUCGCCUUUGGAUGGGCCCGCGUUGGAUUAGCUAGUUGUUAGGGUAAAAGCCUACCAAGGCGACGAUCCAUAGCUGGUCUGAGAGGAUGAUCAGCCACACUGGGACUGAGACACGGCCCAGACUCCUACGGGAGGCAGCAGUGGGGAAUAUUGGACAAUGGGCGAAAGCCUGAUCCAGCAAUGCCGCGUGAGUGAUGAAGGCCUUAGGGUUGUAAAGCUCUUUUACCCGGGAUGAUAAUGACAGUACCGGGAGAAUAAGCUCCGGCUAACUCCGUG
rnacentral:rRNA from 1 species